GGGAUGAACCAAACGUCGAGAUAAGGGGCCCAAACGAAUGCUCAUUCAGACCCCAUCGAAAGGCGUUGGUUGCUAUAGACAGCAGGACGGUGGCCAUGGAAGUCGGAAUCCGCUAAGGAGUGUGUAACAACUCACCUGCCGAAGCAACUAGCCCUUAAAAUGGUAUGGCGCUGAAGCAUUCUCCCGAUACUCGACCGCCGGGGCAGUAGCGGCCGCGUCCCAGAGGCGGGGUCUCGAAGCCCCGGUGAGUAAGAGGGCUGCAGUGGUGAGCGCUGAAGGGAUCCGGCGUGAGCCGGCCUGGAGCCGCCACUGGUGCAGAUCUUGGUGGUAGUAGCAAAUACUCGAGAGAGACUCCCUUGAAGACCGAUGUGGAGAAGGGUUCCAUGUGAACAUCAGUUGGACAUGGGUUAGUCGCUCCUAAGCCCGAGGCUAAGGCCUGAUCCCAUGCUAGCGGC
rnacentral:rRNA from 1 species